GGAGAUGGAGCUCAGUGGUACAGCAUCUGCUUUCGAUGCAGAAAGUCCCAGGUUCAAUUUCUGGCAUCUCCA